GAUGAACGCUGGCGGUGUGCCUAAUACAUGCAAGUCGUACGCAUUCUCGUUUCUGAUUGACGGUGCUUGCACCUAAUUGACGAGACAUUGGAAUGAGUGGCGGACGGGUGAGUAACACGUGGGUAACCUGCCCAGAAGCGGGGGAUAACAUUUGGAAACAGAUGCUAAUACCGCAUAAAAGUCAAAACCACAUGGUUUUGAUUUAAAAGAUGGCCUUUGUGCUAUCACUUCUGGAUGGACCCGCGGCGUAUUAGCUAGUUGGUAAGGUAACGGCUUACCAAGGCAAUGAUACGUAGCCGAACUGAGAGGUUGAUCGGCCACAAUGGGACUGAGACACGGCCCAUACUCCUACGGGAGGCAGCAGUAGGGAAUCUUCCACAAUGGGCGCAAGCCUGAUGGAGCAACACCGCGUGAGUGAAGAAGGGUUUCGGCUCGUAAAACUCUGUUGUUAAAGAAGAACGUAUCUAAGAGUAACUGCUUAGGUAGUGACGGUAUUUAACCAGAAAGCCACGGCUAACUACGUGCCAGCAGCCGCGGUAA
rnacentral:rRNA from 1 species